rnacentral:rRNA from 1 species
GACGAACGCUGGCGGCGUGCUUAACACAUGCAAGUCGAACGGAAAGGCCCUGCUUUUGUGGGGUGCUCGAGUGGCGAACGGGUGAGUAACACGCGAGUAACCUGCCCCUGACUUUGGGAUAACUUCAGGAAACUGGGGCUAUUACCGGAUAGGAUCUCCUGCUGCACGGGGGGGGUUGGUAAGUUUCGGCGGUUGGGGCUCGAAUCGCGGGUUAUCAGCUUGUUGGGGGGGUAGUGGCUUACGAAGGCUUUGACGGGUAGCCGACCUGGGAGGGUGAACGGGCACAUUGGGCCUGAGAGACGGCCCAGACGCCUACGGGAGGCAGCAGGCGGGAAUAUUGCGGAACGGGGGGAAGCGUGAGGUAGCAACCCCGCGUGCGGGAUAACGGCCUUCGGGUGGUAAACAGCUUUCGCCUGUGCCGAGGCGUGAGUGACGGUAAUGGGUAAAGAAGCACCGGCUAACUACGUG